UCCAACCGUCCAACGGUAGCAAGCAAAAAUAAAAUAAGGGAAUAUGAAUUGUCAUUUUCCCAAAUAAAAAUCCACAGUUGAGAAGUGAGAACUCUAUAGCCUUCGAAUGUUAUUAUGGCCAUCGCCCAUCGGCAUCGUCUAGCCUAUUGCCACCCAAAGAAAUUGGCUUGAAUGAAAACUCAAGUCAGAGACGCAGAGCACUGGUAUCGGUGACCGAUCUGAUCCGAGCACAACUCCUUGUGACGUCCAUCAUUGGUAAAUCUCCCAAGCACGAAACUGUGAACUGUCACUGGGCUGGUUCGACCUUCGUAGUCUUCCCUCCUUCUUCAGCAUUGGAAACGGCGAGAGCACGUUGGAAAUCAGAGGCUAACAAGGAUUUGUCUAGUUGAAUCCCUCACGCGUUCAUGUUACCGUUGGUUCUAUUAUUCGUGGAUCGAAAAUGGAGUUGGCUUGGGGCGCUAUUGAGAAUGGUUGUCCUCAUUGCUUCGCUUUCCUUUUUUAAAUUUUGAUUGGUUAAGCCGUAUAAUGAGUAUGCUUUGGAAUCAGAUGUUAUUGGGGAUAUUGUUUUGAGAGCCUUGCCACUGAAGAUCCUAGAAGGUCUGAUGGAGAGGGGAUACAUUAUGUCGAUGCCAAUGUUGAAUAUUGUUAUGUGAUCUAAACAAAAGUAGGGGCUCACCGCAUCUUGAUGGGUGCUGGGAUGGCUUGUUGUGACUCAACUGAUGAUGGAAGGAGAUUUUAUGUUGAACUAAAAACAAGUCGUGAGGUUGACAAAGUCUCAGCUUCUUUGCAUCUUACUUCCAUCCCAUUACUUCUGGUUUCUUGUUAUAGUCAUGAUAUAGGCUCUUAACAACAUGUCAUCUUCAAUGAUGCAUACAGCGACAACAACAAGCCUUAUCCCACUAGGUGGGGUCAGCUAUAUGGAUUAUAUGAUGCUAUUGUGCUAUCUUCAACGAUGCAUACUGAGGAAAAAAUGAGGGAAAAACUGCUCAAGUUUUGGGUAAAGUUUAUCCUAUCUUAUGCUAUGAAUUAAUAUACUUUCUGCUUAAGUAUUUUUAUUGUAUCUGUUUUAGUUGUGUCCAUCUUGAGUUAGAUGUUUGUUCAGUUGUUGGAGAAUUGAGCUUUAUAUUUUGGAGAUUAGCUUAUAUUUGUUUUAAGAAUUUUCUGUUUUUUUUUUUUUUUAAACGCUGUCUUCAGGAUAAUUCUACCAUGAGAUCAGGUGGUCCUUUUUUAAAAAUUGUGAGUUCAUUGAAUUUAUUCUUUAGCAAGACCUCUAUUCUUGAUUUUUGCAGAUUCAGUCAUGUUCGGAAGGAGUUCCAUAUAUUGUCAUAGGAUUUAGGUAAUUGUGAUCAUCGUACCAUUAGAAUUUAUUUGUUCUUGCACAAGCUUUCGUAUGAUUAAUGGAGCUUAUUAUAGCUUGAACUGCAUAGCAAGUAGCAACUUGUUCAUCAGAUGGGACAUUCUCCAUCAAGCAUCUAUUGCAAAUGUGAAAGCUUGCUAUUGACAGUUUGACUUGGUGUUUAUCCUAAAAAUAUUUUGGUUGCAAUGAAGAGAUGAUUCUGAUUGUCUUUUUCAGACGGAAAGAUUAAGAUGUAAGAACCAAAGAAAUCACUUAACAACAACAACAAAAAUUAUUGGAGUUAUUACUUGUCGACGCUUUUGGUUUUUACUCAUAAUAUAUACAUCAAAGAUAAGGACCUUGUAUUAUAUUGUAAUGGCAUCCCCAUGAAUCAUGUUACAAUUUUUACAAAGUCUUCUAUUCGCGUUUCCUACCAAAAAGAAAUCAAUCUGUGACCUUGAAACUCCGCUUUUAUAAGUGAUGAGUUGCCCAUCCCUCUUCUUGAAAUAGGUAUUAGCAAUCUUGAAAUCAUAUGCCAAGUAGAAAUCCAAGAUAUGUUGUCCUUUAUUAUUUAGUUUCCCAAAACCCAAACCACCAUACACCCUUGUAUAAUGACUUGCCUCCCUCCCGACAUGUCUAUUAAAAUCUCCUCCAAUAAAGAUCUUUUCAUGAUGUGGUAUGCUUUCAAUCAACCCCUCUAAGUCUUCCCAAAAUAAUUUUUUAAGACUGGCUUCUAUUCCAACUUGAGGUGCAUAAGCGCUAAUAAUAUUGAUAGUCUUAACUGCUACAAGACACAUGUUGCUAAUCUUUGCUUUGCUUGGUGAUUGCAAUGAUGAACCUGCUAUUAGUGGAAGCUCCCACUUCUCUCUCCUGUCGGCUCCAGACUUCAUAGCCAAAGGCAAAGAUGUUCACAUAGUCUUUUUUGUUCUGAGGCAUGAAGGGUUAUAUAUGGACAAAAAUAUGUUCAUACGUGCUAAUCAAUCAUCACUUAAUCUUAGGAUUGGUUUAAGUUGCCUCAGAAAAGGAACUAGAAAAUCAUAAAAGCUAGACUCUCAACAAAUGUUUAACAUGACUUUUUACCUGAUGUUAACAAAACUUGUCGGCAGGGAGGAGUCUGCUUGGCGUUUGCAGACGAAGUUUUAUGCUGGCUUUAUGGAAUAGUCAAGGAGAGUGAGUAUUAUUGAACCAUUCAGUCUUUUUCAGCGAGCUGAUAAAAAAGGAACAUGAAGAAAUCUUGCAAAUUGAAACUUAAGUCCCAAAUCUAUUCGUUUGGUGUGUAUAAGUUAGUAAUUGACAAGCACAUGCCUAGUUUUCAGAUGAAGAUUGCAUAUUGCAGCUUGCUCAACCUUUCACCCGUUUGGAGCUUUUACAGGCCCAGUCUUGUCUAGAUGCAAUUACUAGUCAGUCAUCUUGAGCUGCUGUGAAGAAUUAGAGACCUUUACAGCUGUUUAUACAAUUCAAUCUGACAAGUAACAGGAAUCUUCCCCUUAGCUUGAAUCGGUUCAUGGUUGUUUUGAUACUUGAUGGAAAUCCUUGAACAGGAGUGAGCUGAUUUUGUUAAUGAAGAGGAAAUUACACUGGGUUAUAAUCUUAUACUACUUUUGGGUUGAAUGAUUUGUGAUGGAAAAUGUCUGUGAAUUACUAUUAACCAUUUUGAUUCAUAGUUGGGCGGCGGGCGCCCCUCUGGGAAAUUUCCUGAUGUGUCUGUAAUUCUUGUGACUUUUGGCCGACAGAAUAUAGACCUAAUGAUGAAAAUAUUAGGCAGAAUGCAAAGAAAUUGUGCUCCUGACAUUCAA